UAGGGAAUCUUCCACAAUGGACGGAAAGUCCUGAUGGAGCAACGCCGCGUGAGUGAAGAAGGGUUUCGGCUCGUAAAACUCUGUUGUUAAAGAAGAACAUAUCUGAGAGUAACUGUUCAGGUAUUGACGGUAUUUAACCAGAAAGCCACGGCUAACUACGUGCCAG
rnacentral:rRNA from 1 species